rnacentral:rRNA from 1 species
AGAGUUUGAUCCUGGCUCAGGAUGAACGCUAGCGGCAGGCUUAAUACAUGCAAGUCGAACGGCAGCACGUGUAGCAAUACAUGGUGGCGAGUGGCGCACGGGUGCGUAACACGUAUGUAACCUACCUCUAACAGUGGCAUAACAAUGAGAAAUUAUUGCUAAUUCCGCAUGUGGUUAAUUUGAGGCAUCUUAGAUUAACUAAAGAUUUAUCGGUUAGAGCUGGGCAUGCGUCCCAUUAGCUAGUUGGUGAGGUAACGGCUCACCAAGGCCUCGAUGGGUAGGGGCUCUGAGAGGAUUGUCCCCCACACUGGUACUGAGACACGGACCAGACUCCUACGGGAGGCAGCAGUAAGGAAUAUUGGGCAAUGGACGCAAGUCUGACCCAGCCAUGCCGCGUGAAGGAAGACGGCCCUAUGGGUUGUAAACUUCUUUUCUCAGGGGGUAAACUCCGGAACGUGUUCCGGACUGAAAGUACCUGAGGAAUAAGCAUCGGCUAACUCCGUGCCAGCAGCCGCGGUAAUACGGAGGAUGCGAGCGUUAUCCGGAUUCAUUGGGUUUAAAGGGUGCGCAGGCGGAUAUAUAAGUCGGAGGUGAAAUUCUGAUGCUCAACAUCAGCCGUGCCUUCGAUACUGUAUAUCUAGAGUCAAGUUGGAGUAGGCGGAAUGUGUUGUGUAGCGGUGAAAUGCUUAGAUAUAACACAGAACACCGAUCGCGAAGGCAGCUUACUAAACUUUGACUGACGCUCAAGCACGAAAGCGUGGGGAUCAAACAGGAUUAGAUACCCUGGUAGUCG